GACGAACGCUGGCGGCGUGCCUAAUACAUGCAAGUCGAGCGGAUGGAAGGAAGCUUGCUUCCUAAAGUCAGCGGCGGACGGGUGAGUAACACGUGGGCAACCUGCCCCAAAGAUCGGGAUAACUUCGGGAAACCGGAGCUAAUACCGGAUAUGAUUAUAUCUCACAUGAGACAUAAUGGAAAGACGGUUUCGGCUGUCACUUAGGGAUGGGCCCGCGGCGCAUUAGCUAGUUGGUGAGGUAACGGCUCACCAAGGCGACGAUGCGUAGCCGACCUGCGAGGGUGAUCGGCCACACUGGGACUGAGACACGGCCCAGACUCCUACGGGAGGCAGCAGUAGGGAAUCUUCCGCAAUGGACGAAAGUCUGACGGAGCAACGCCGCGUGAGUGAAGAAGGUUUUCGGAUCGUAAAACUCUGUUGUUAGGGAAGAACAAGUACCAUAGUAACUGAUGGUACCUUGACGGUACCUAACCAGAAAGCCACGGCUAACUACGUGCCAGCCGCCGCUGUAACAC
rnacentral:rRNA from 1 species